rnacentral:rRNA from 1 species
GAUGAACGCUGGCGUCGUGCCUAAUACAUGCAAGUCGAGCGAACAGACGAGGAGCUUGCUCCUCUGACGUUAGCGGCGGACGGGUGAGUAACACGUGGAUAACCUACCUAUAAGACUGGGAUAACUUCGGGAAACCGGAGCUAAUACCGGAUAACAUGUUGAACCGCAUGGUUCAACAGUGAAAGACGGUCUUGCUGUCACUUAUAGAUGGAUCCGCGCCGCAUUAGCUAGUUGGUAAGGUAACGGCUUACCAAGGCAACGAUGCGUAGCCGACCUGAGAGGGUGAUCGGCCACACUGGAACUGAGACACGGUCCAGACUCCUACGGGAGGCAGCAGUAGGGAAUCUUCCGCAAUGGGCGAAAGCCUGACGGAGCAACGCCGCGUGAGUGAAGAAGGUCUUCGGAUCGUAAAACUCUGUUAUUAGGGAAGAACAAAUGUGUAAGUAACUAUGCACGUCUUGACGGUACCUAAUCAGAAAGCCACGGCUAACUACGUG